GGUGGCUCAGUGGUAGAGUGCUUGCCUCACAUGCAUGAGGUCUUAGAUUCGAUUCCUCAGCACCA
rfam:Dipodomys ordii contig_66690, whole genome shotgun sequence.